rnacentral:rRNA from 1 species
UACGUAGGCAGCAAGCGUUGUUCGGAGUUACUGGGCGUAAAGAGUGCGUAGGUGGUGCCCUAAGUCUGUUGUGAAAUCUCCCGGCUUAACUGGGAGGGUGCGGUGGAAACUGGGGUGCUUGAGUGUGGGAGAGGUGAGUGGAAUUCCCGGUGUAGCGGUGAAAUGCGCAGAUAUCAGGAGGAACACCGGUGGCGAAGGCGGGUCUCUGGGCCGAUACUGACGCUGAGGAGCGAAAGCGUGGGGAGCGAACAGG